UGGCAAGUCGACCAAAGGCGUAAGCAGUCAUCAAGGGCGUACCCUUCGAUCAAGAGCGAAAGUUAAGGGUUCGAAGACGAUCAGAUACCGUCGUAGUCUUAACUAUAAAUGUUGCAAACCAGGGAUAGGACAGUGUCCAUCUCGACUCCUCCUGGACCUUGGAGAAAUUACGAGUCUAUGGGUUCUGGGGGGAGUAUGGUCGCAAGGCUGAAACUUAAAGGAAUUGACGGAAGGGCACACAAAGAGUGGAACCUGCGGCUUAAUUUGACUCAACACGGGAAAACUCACCAGGUCCGGAUACACGUAUGAAAGUCAAGCUGAAAGACUUUACUCAAUGAUGUAAGUGGUGGUGCAUGGUCGUUCUUAGUUCGUGGAUUGAUUUGUCUGGUCUAUUCCGAUAACGAGCGAGACCCCGACGUUCCUAAUAGGGGUGGCAGCCAGACCGGUCGCAAGGCCGGUUAGCUCGCCGCCUGAAGUUAUACUUCUUAGACGCAUCAGAGCCGAUAAGGUUCUUGAAAUGGGUUAAUAACAGGUCAGUCAUGCCCUUAGAUGUUCUGGGCCGCACGCGCGUUACAAUGGCAUGUAUAACAAGUGCUUGAAUAAGGCGUCCCCGGGGCCGAAAGGUCUCGGUAACCCUUAGUCCCUGCUUUGACUGGGACAGAUCUUUGCAAUUAUUGGUCUCAAACGAGGAAUUUUUAGUAAUCGUAGGUCAUUAACCUGCGUUGAAUGCGUCCCUGCCCUUUGUACACACCGCC
rnacentral:rRNA from 1 species